UGGGGGAUAGUUUAGCGGUAGAACCCACGGCUCUGACCCGUGUAGCCCUGGUUCGAAUCCAGGUCCCCCAGCCA
rnacentral:tRNA from 1 species